GAUGAAGAACGUAAUGAAAUGCGAUAAGUAAUGUGAAUUGCAGAAUUCAGUGAAUCAUCGAAUCUUUGAACGCACCUUGCGCCCUUUGGCUAUUCCGAAGGGCAUGCCUGUUUGAGUAUCAUGAACACCUCAACUCUCAUGGUUUGCCAUGAUGAGCUUGGACUUUGGGGGUCUUGCCGGCCUAUGGGUCGGCUCCUCUCAAAUUAAUCAGCUUGCCAGUGUUUGGUGGCAUCACAGGUGUGAUAACUAUCUACGCUUGUGGUUUUCCAUCAGGUAACCUUCAGUGAUGGAGGUUCGCUGGGGCUCAUAAAUGUCUCUCCUCAGUGAGGACAGCUUUUUUGAACGUUUGAUCUCAAAUCAGGUAGGACUACCCGCUGAACUUAAGCAUAUCAAUAAGCGGAGGA
rnacentral:misc_RNA from 1 species